CCUGGUGGGGUAACAUCACGGCUUUCCGUCGAGGUGUCCUCUCUGGGAAAGCUCUCAGACUCCACACGGCCAAGAUCACUGGAUACUUGAGCUUCCCUAAACUGAGUUGACACAGCUGCUCUGCCCCUGGUCACUGAAUAAAUCCUCUCGUCCUACACUGGAGCCACUGAAGAAACAAGGGGGUUUGUAUUUUUUUUUUUUUAAUCCAGAUGAAGGUUGUGGCCAGGAAUUUUUCAAACACUGGAAUAAAUUUUUAAUUUGGACUUUGAUAUCCAGACAAGCCCCGCUCAUGCUCUCUUGGGUCUCCUUCCCAAAGACCAGACUUCAAACACACACGGCUCGCCGUCUUCGCAGAGGGGGCAGAAAAGCCCCACACCAGCCGGGGCCCCAGUUGACAGAAACCCCAGACAUCCAGCCGGUCUGGGCUGGACCCUUGUUUGCUACCUGGUCCCGGAAACCCACGCAUCCUAUUCUCUGGACCUGAAGCAAAGUUCCUCCAAGGAGAACGAGUGAGCGGGUCAUCUGUCCGCACAGAACAUUCAUGCCUCCACCCGGGGACCCUGCCUGGAGCAUUCUC